UUGGAGGGAAGGAGGAAAGAUUGGAGGGGUGGAGGAAAGAUUGGAGGGGUGGAGGAAAGAUUGGAGGGGUGGAGGGAGUUAGGAAGGAAAGAUUGGAGGAAAGGAGAAAAGAUUGGAGGGAAGAAGGAAAGAUUGGAGGGAAGGAGGAAAGAUUGGAGGGAAGGAGGAAAGAUUGGAGGGAGUUAGGAAGGAGUGGUUAGGUGGUGCUACUUUGGCUCGUUAUCUACAAGAACAAAAAUAUCUACACCAUACUUUGGCUUGUUAUCUAUAAGGAAAAGUAUCUACACUGUAGAAAUUUUAUUUUGUAAUGAUAUCUACAUGGUAAAACAUAAUUAAAACACUUUUGGUUUUGGUUUGGUUAUGUUACGUCUGCUUAGGUUAGUUACUUAUAAUGUACACCUUCAUAUUAUGGUUCAAGUGCAUUUAUUUUUGCCCUUUGCCCACAGUUUGGAAGAGUACAUGAUAUUUUGAAGUGGCAGAGCUAAACUAUUUACCAAAGACUGUAAAUAUUCGUCCUUGGGGUGUUUUAUCCUCUACUCCCCCUUUUUUAUCACACUUAAAAGGAGAGUGAACAGCUGGGACGGCCGCACGUCAAAAAUGCCCAGGAGAAGAUUAAAGAAACACUGGUGCAUUGGUUAGGAGGUUCAGCAGCAAAUCCCUGUGUCCGUGUAUGAAUCUCAGCUUGAUUUGUCGACACGCAGCUCACCCAGCUGUUCAUGCACCCUUUUGGGCUGACCAACUAAUGGGUAUCUAGGAAAACUUUGGGAAGAUAAACUGUGGGUAGCAGGAAUAUCACACUGGCCCUGUCAUUAUUAUUAUUACCCACCACAGACUCAAGGACAAGUAAGGCGGACAAACACAGAGGCCGCACGCAGCUUUGAGGUAUGCCCACAACUUUACCUGGAGACGAGGUAAUCCUGAAAACAUGAUUUAUCUCGAGAAAAACGACAGUGGUCGCUGCACAGUUCAUGGUACGCGCCGAUAAAUCACGUGACUUUGUUUACGUUUUCACGCUCACGCUCGCCAACCUCGCCCGACCAGUUAUACCAACACUGCCGACGAUUUAGGUUCGGUGCGGGUCUCGUUGGGGAGCGUAAAUCUUUGAGUGUAAGACGGGCGCCUGGCUCUCGUACGCCAGCCAACAAACCUGGUGCGCGUUUUCGUUUUGCCGCUCCCGAAAGGACUGUAAGACCGGCCCUAGGAGUCUGACAUUUCCAGGAGUAUAGUUUUAUGACCAGGUGGUAGUUUGACCCUUCCUCUGUACCCUGAACCUAAAGAAACACAUAUUUGGCAAGGCUUUCCUAGGAGUCUUUGACAUUUCCAGGAGUAUAGUUUUAUGACCAGGUGGUAGUUUGACCCUUCCUCUGUACCCUGAACCUAAAGAAACACAUAUUUGGCAAGGCUUUCCUAGGAGUCUUUGACAUUUCCAGGAGUAUAGUUUUAUGACCAGGUGGUAGUUUGACCCUUCCUCUGUACCCUGAACCUAAAGAAACACAUAUUUGGCAAGGCUUUCCUAGGAGUCUUUGACAUUUCCAGGAGUAUAGUUUUAUGACCAGGUGGUAGUUUGACCCUUCCUCUGUACCCUGAACCUAAAGAAACACAUAUUUGGCAAGGCUUUCCUAGGAGUCUUUGACAUUUCCAGGAGUAUAGUUUUAUGACCAGGUGGUAGUUUGACCCUUCCUCUGUACCCUGAACCUAAAGAAACACAUAUUUGGCAAGGCUUUCCUAGGAGUCUUUGACAUUUCCAGGAGUAUAGUUUUAUGACCAGGUGGUAGUUUGACCCUUCCUCUGUACCCUGAACAUGAAGAAACACAUAUUUGGCAAGGCUUUCCUAGGAGUCUUUGACAUUUCCAGGAGUAUAGUUUUAUGACCAGGUGGUAGUGUGACCCUUCCUCUGUACCCUGAACAUGAAGAAACACAUAUUUGGCAAGGCUUUCCUAGGAGUCUUUGACAUUUCCAGGAGUAUAGUUUUAUGACCAGGUGGUAGUGUGACCCUUCCUCUGUACCCUGAACAUGAAGAAACACAUAUUUGGCAAGGCUUUCCUAGGAGUCUUUGACAUUUCCAGGAGUAUAGUUUUAUGACCAGGUGGUAGUUUGACCCUUCCUCUGUACCCUGAACAUGAAGAAACACAUAUUUGGCAAGGCUUUCCUAGGAGUCUUUGACAUUUCCAGGAGUAUAGUUUUAUGACCAGGUGGUAGUUUGACCCUUCCUCUGUACCCUGAACAUGAAGAAACACAUAUUUGGCAAGGCUUUCCUAGGAGUCUUUGACAUUUCCAGGAGUAUAGUUUUAUGACCAGGUGGUAGUUUGACCCUUCCUCUGUACCCUGAACCUAAAGAAACACAUAUUUGGCAAGGCUUUCCUAGGAGUCUGACAUUUCCAGGAGUAUAGUUUUAUGACCAGGUGGUAGUUUGACCCUUCCUCUGUACCCUGAACCUAAAGAAACACAUAUUUGGCAAGGCUUUCCUAGGAGUCUUUGACAUUUCCAGGAGUAUAGUUUUAUGACCAGGUGGUAGUUUGACCCUUCCUCUGUACCCUGAACCUAAAGAAACACUCAUUAGAACCCGAUUGCCCCUUCUUUGACCUUCAGAAAUACAGAACAUAGUUGACAUGAGAACCAAAAGUGUCUUAUAAUACCAAUCCCAGGAUAUAGUUAAUAUUGUGUCAUCAAAACCCAGAUUAAAUUCAAACCUCUCCUGCGUCCAUCCCACUCUGAUUGGGCUCAUGUUAACGCCUCCAUGCAAUGUGACGCCUUGUUUAAGAGGCCCCUGAGCCAAGAAGGACAGAACAGAG